rnacentral:lncRNA from 1 species
ACAAAACCAAACUGUCAGGACUGAAUCCCUCUAACUCAACCAAGCUACGCAGGUCACCAAAAACACAAGAGCAUUGCCACGAGACACUUGUAGAACUCAUCACCUUAAAAGCACUCAAAAAACUAAUCAUAUCCCUUAUCAUGUCGAUCCGACCUACUACCAAGCUAUCCUAUUUAUCCAAGUUCCUUCUGAAUUACCUUCAAAUUAAUACUUC